UUCGCCCUUAGAGUUUGAUCCUGGCUCAGGAUGAACGCUGGCGGCGUGCCUAAUACAUGCAAGUCGAGCGAACGUCUUAGAAGCUUGCUUCUAAGACGUUAGCGGCGGACGGGUGAGUAACACGUGGGCAACCUGCCUGUAAGACUGGGAUAACUUCGGGAAACCGAAGCUAAUACCGGAUAGGAUCUUCUCCUUCAUGGGAGAUGAUUGAAAGAUGGUUUCGGCUAUCACUUACAGAUGGGCCCGCGGUGCAUUAGCUAGUUGGUGAGGUAACGGCUCACCAAGGCAACGAUGCAUAGCCGACCUGAGAGGGUGAUCGGCCACACUGGGACUGAGACACGGCCCAGACUCCUACGGGAGGCAGCAGUAGGGAAUCUUCCGCAAUGGACGAAAGUCUGACGGAGCAACGCCGCGUGAGUGAUGAAGGCUUUCGGGUCGUAAAACUCUGUUGUUAGGGAAGAACAAGUACAAGAGUAACUGCUUGUACCUUGACGGUACCUAACCAGAAAGCCACGGCUAACUACGUGCCAGCAGCCGCGGUAAUACGUAGGUGGCAAGCGUUAUCCGGAAUUAUUGGGCGUAAAGCGCGCGCAGGCGGUU
rnacentral:rRNA from 1 species